CCUACGGGUGGCAGCAGUGAGGAAUAUUGGUCAAUGGUCGGGAGACUGAACCAGCCAAGCCGCGUGAGGGAUGAAGGUACAGAGUAUCGUAAACCUCUUUUGUCAGGGAACAAAGGCGGGGACGUGUCCCCGGAUGAGUGUACCUGAAGAAAACGCAUCGGCUAACUCCGUGCCAGCAGCCGCGGUAAUCCGGAGGAUGCGAGCGUUAUCCGGAUUUAUUGGGUUUAAAGGGUGUGCAGGGGGUGUGUUAAGUCAGCGGGCAAAGCCCGGGGCUCAACCCCGGCCCGCCGUUGAAACUGGCAGGCUCGAGUUGGAGAGAGGUAGGCGGAAUGCGCGGUGUAGCGGUGAAAUGCAUAGAUAGCGCGCAGAACGCCGGUUGCGAAGGCAGCAUGCCGGCUCCACACUGACGCUGAGGCACGAAAGCGUGGGUAGCGAACAGGAUUAGAUACCCCGGUAGUC
rnacentral:rRNA from 1 species